CUUCUUCCACUACAGCCACAAGAAAGAAAAAAGUGUCCUUGUGUUUUCUGUUGAUUGUGGCAGCCAGACUGAAUGGGGGGAUACAGGA
ensembl:snoRNA